UCGGGAAUUUUGGGCAAUGGGGGAAACCCUGACCCAGCAACGCCGCGUGAAGGACGAAAUCCCUCGGGAUGUAAACUUCGUAGUCAGGGGAAGAAAGUCUUGGAUUGAAUACAUCCGAGGCCUGACGGUACCCUGGGUAAGCCACGGCUAACUACGUGCCAGCAGCCGCGGUAAUACGUAGGUGGCAAGCGUUGUUCGGAAUUACUGGGCGUAAAGGGCGCGUAGGCGGCUAAUUAUGUCAGGUGUGAAAGCCCUCGGCCUAACCGAGGAAGUGCGCCUGAAACUGAUUAGCUUGAGUACGUGAGAGGAGGACGGAAUUCCCAGUGUAGAGGUGAAAUUCGUAGAUAUUGGGAGGAACACCGGUGGCGAAAGCGGUUCUCUGGAUCGAUACUGACGCUAAGACGCGAAAGCGUGGGGAGCAAACAGGAUUAGAUACCCCCGUAGUCCCUGAGCGGGCUGGCAAGGCGCAU
rnacentral:rRNA from 1 species